ensembl:lncRNA
UAUUUAUGGCCAUAGACCCUAGCCUGGCUCCGCCCGCCUAAGUACUUCCGCUCAAUUUGAAUUUCCCAAAUGAAAUGAAGUGAAGUACGAGAGUCUGGUAGAACCAUGGACAUAAUAGAACCAGGCUACAUAGACCCAUGAUGCGGAAGCAUAUCUCUCCUUGAUGUUGCCCUGCGCCACUGAGCAGUACAUAUGUGCCGUGGGCUCUACCAGAAGGGGCGGGACUUCGCCCAAGUUUUCCCGCUUCUUCUCAGUUUGGGGCCGAAUCAACUGAACAAUAGAAUCUCGGAUCUCCAUUUUUGUGCCAUUCAAGUGCAUGUGACGAUUGAUCUGGACUCAAGCUGUAGGCCUACCAGUCAGAUGAGUAACUCAGUGGAUGAGGAGGACUUUGCGGAUAUCAGGGCAUACUUUUCCACAACAAAAUGGAACCGCCUCUGUAUGGCAGAGAAAAAAAGAUUCCUGCAGAUCAAGGAAAACCAUUUGGUUCUGGAGUCUCUUGGUAAACCAGUCAUACUUAAAUACUAUUUUACUGAGUACAUUGCUAUACAUACAGACACAGGUGGUGCUUCU